ACGCUCGACACCUACGUGAGGCAGCAAUGGGGAAUAUUGCACAAUGGGGGAAACCCUGAUGCAGCAACGCCGCGUGAAGGAAGAAGUAUUUCGGUAUGUAAACUUCUAUCAGCAGGGAAGAAAAAGAUGACGGUACCUGACUAAGAAGAACCGGCUAAAUACGUGCUAGCAGCCGCGGUAAUCUGAGCGGGCUGGCAAGGC
rnacentral:rRNA from 1 species